rnacentral:lncRNA from 1 species
UAGAAAUUUGGAAGCAAUCCUUUGUCGUGUCUCUCAUAGACAACUUGGUAUUCAUGACUUCAUGUUGUGAUAAAUAACCAGUUCACCCAACAACAGGGAUGGUGCUUAUUUUUUCAGAGGACCUUAUUGCCUGAGAACACAGCAAGCUGGGGAUGUUCCCACCUGUAAGGGCUACAAAACAGCAGCCAAGCACCCUCCCAUCAUCCCUCUCCCCGUCAUUCAGCACUCAUCACUGAACAAAACAGAAUGAUUCCAGUUUACAAGUCUGCUGUGGAGGUUCAGGAUGUAAAGUGGAGAGGCCAGGUGCCUGUGGGGAGGGAGCUGCCUAGGCAAUGACUGGGCCAGAGCACAAGCAUAGGGACUCACAGUCAUGUCUGUCUGCUCGACAUAGCACUGCAGUACUAAAGACAGGAGAGACAAUUCCUCCACGAGAAACAGAAGAUGGCCAGGGACUUACAGUCAUGUUUGUCUGCUGAAAACAGCUCUGCACUUCUAAAAAGAGGAAGAGACAAUUCCUCCACGAGAAAGGGAAGACGGCCAUGGACUCACAGUCAUGUCUGUCUGCUUAACACAGAACUGCACUUUUAAACACAGGUAGGGAAAAUUCCUCCACGAGAAACAGAAGAUGUCCAGGGACUCACAGUCAUGUUCGUAUGCUCAGCACAGCACUGUACUUCCAAAGACAGGAAGGGACGAUUCAUCCGUGAGAAAGAGAAGAUGACCCGUCAAGAUUUGAAAAACUGUUCAGUCUACAAGGAGAGAAGAGUAAACUUGGUCAUAUACCAUUUCCGAUUUAUAAAAUUAGAAAACAAAACAAUAACAAGAAAAAUAGAAAACGGACACACACAAAAAACUGCUCUGCUGGAGUUCACGAGGAGAGAGGUCAUUCUGCAACCCCUUCCACACUGCGGGCCCAGAGAAGCCUCAGUAGCAGUUACUGGUUCCAAAAGAAACGGAGUGAAGUGGGGUCGGAUGACCCCAACAGAAAAGGUGGUGGCUACCUUGGCAGAAACCCCUGUAAUGGCCAUCUUGUCCCUGCCAUGUCCUUCUUCUAUAAAGAGGAGAAGUGUCAUUUCAGAUGUCAGCUCCUGUACAGUAUUGGACAGAAACACUGGAUAAAGAUACAAACACUGGAAUAACACUGGUGUGUCAUUGAAUUAAAACAAAACAAAACAAGACCUGGAGCCAACCACCUCUGAAAUGCUUGCUACGCAAUAUGAUAAGCUCCUACAAUCUCAGCCACUUUUACAUCCUAUUCUAUGUAUGGGCAGGAGGGAGCUCUGGACGCUGAGCAGACCCUUGAGCUGUUAUGCCCCCACUCCCUGGAAAUCCCAUCACUUCCCUCCCCAUAACUUUCUCUUGGCUGAACUGUGCCAGUCAGACUUCCCAGAAAUUCAGCUUUGCCAAUGAGCAGGUUGGGAUUCACAUGUUGACACAAUGAAUAAAAAAUGAAGCAGAUUAGGUUGAGUUAAAAUAAAAAGUCAUACAGAUAUCAUUAACCUAAAAGUUUAGAAAAUUCUGGAGGGGUAAAUGACCUUU